rnacentral:rRNA from 1 species
GAUGAACGCUGGCGGCGUGCCUAAUACAUGCAAGUUGAGCGAACGGACGAGAAGCUUGCUUCUCUGAUGUUAGCGGCGGACGGGUGAGUAACACGUGGAUAACCUACCUAUAAGACUGGGAUAACUUCGGGAAACCGGAGCUAAUACCGGAUGAUAUUUUGAACCGCAUGGUUCAAAAGUGAAAGACGGUCUUGCUGUCACUUAUAGAUGGAUCCGCGCUGCAUUAGCUAGUUGGCAAGGUAACGGCUUACCAAGGCAACGAUGCAUAGCCGACCUGAGAGGGUGAUCGGCCACACUGGAACUGAGACACGGUCCAGACUCCUACGGGAGGCAGCAGUAGGGAAUCUUCCGCAAUGGGCGAAAGCCUGACGGAGCAACGCCGCGUGAGUGAUGAAGGUCUUCGGAUCGUAAAACUCUGUUAUUAGGGAAGAACAUAUGUGUAAGUAACUGUGCACAUCUUGACGGUACCUAAUCAGAAAGCCACGGCUAACUACGUG